CAGUCGCCGCGGUAAUACGAGGGGGGCGAGCGUUGUUCGGAAUUAUUGGGCGUAAAGGGCGCGUAGGCGGUUUGACAAGUCUUAUGUGAAAUCUUCGGGUUCAACUCGAAGUCUGCAUGGGAAACUGUCGGGCUUGAGUAUGGGAGAGGUGAGUGGAAUUUCCGGUGUAGCGGUGAAAUGCGUAGAUAUCGGAAGGAACACCUGUGGCGAAAGCGGCUCACUGGACCAUAACUGACGCUGAGGCGCGAAAGCUAGGGGAGCAAACAGGAUUAGAUACCCGUGUAGUCCCUGUCUCUUAUAC
rnacentral:rRNA from 1 species